GUGCCAGCCGCCGCGGUAAUACAGAGGGUGCGAGCGUUGUUCGGAAUUAUUGGGCGUAAAGCGCGUGUAGGCGGCUUCGUAAGUUGGGUGUGAAAGCCCUCGGCUUAACCGAGGAAGUGCGCCCAAAACUGCGAGGCUUGAGUACCGGAGAGGAUGGCGGAAUUCCCGGUGUAGAGGUGAAAUUCGUAGAUAUCGGGAGGAACACCAGCGGCGAAGGCGGCCAUCUGGACGGAUACUGACGCUGAGACGCGAAAGCGUGGGGAGCAAACAGGAUUAGAUACCCCUGUAGUCC
rnacentral:rRNA from 1 species